GUGUCAGCCGCCGCGGUAAAACCAGCACCUCAAGUGGUCAGGAGGAUUAUUGGGCCUAAAGCAUCCGUAGCCUGUUCUAUAAGUUUCCGGUUAAAUCCAUUAGCUCAACUAAUGGGCCGCCGAAAAUACUGUAGAACUAGGGAGUGGGAGAGGUAGACGGUAUUCGGUAGGAAGGGGUAAAAUCCUUUGAUCUAUUGAGGACCACCUGUGGCGAAGGCGGUCUACCAGAACACGUUCGACGGUGAGGGAUGAAAGCUGGGGGAGCAAACCGGAUUAGAUACCCGGGUAGUCCCAGCUGUAAACGAUGCAGACUCGGUGAUGCGCUGGCUUGUGGCCAGUGCAGUGCCGCAGGGAAGCCGUUAAGUUUGCCGCCUGGGAAGUACGUACGCAAGUAUGAAACUUAAAGGAAUUGGCGGGGGAGCACCACAAGGGGUGAAGCCUGCGGUUCAAUUGGAGUCAACGCCAGAAAUCUUACCCGAAGAGACAGCAGAAUGAAGGUCAAGCUGGAGACUUUACCAGACAAGCUGAGAAGUGGUGCAUGGCCGUCGCCAGCUCGUGCCGUGAGAUGUCCUGUUAAGUCAGGUAACGAGCGAGAUCCCUGCCUCUAGUUGCCACCAUUACUCUCAGGAGUAGUGGGGCGAAUUAGCGGGACCGCCGCAGUUAAUGCGGAGGAAGGAAGGGGCCACGGCAGGUCAGUAUGCCCUGAAACUUUGGGGCCACACGCGGGCUGCAAUGGUAGUGACAAUGGGUUCCGAAUCCGAAAGGAGGAGGCAAUCCUCAAACGCUACCACAGUUAUGAUUGAGGGCUGUAACUCGCCCUCAUGAAUAUGGAAUCCCUAGUAACUGCGUGUCAUUACCGCGCAGUGAAUACGUCCCUGCUCCUUGCACACACCGCCCGUC
rnacentral:rRNA from 1 species